rnacentral:rRNA from 1 species
CCUACGGGGGGCAGCAGUGGGGAAUAUUGGACAAUGGGGGGAACCCUGAUCCAGCCAUGCCGCGUGUGUGAAGAAGGCCCUCGGGUUGUAAAGCACUUUCAGUGAGGAAGAACGCCUGGUGGUUAAUACCCAUCAGGAAAGACAUCACUCACAGAAGAAGCACCGGCUAACUCCGUGCCAGCAGCCGCGGUAAAACGGAGGGUGCGAGCGUUAAUCGGAAUUACUGGGCGUAAAGCGCGCGUAGGUGGCUUGAUAAGCCGGUUGUGAAAGCCCCGGGCUCAACCUGGGAACGGCAUCCGGAACUGUCAAGCUAGAGUGCAGGAGAGGAAGGUAGAAUUCCCGGUGUAGCGGUGAAAUGCGUAGAGAUCGGGAGGAAUACCAGUGGCGAAGGCGGCCUUCUGGACUGACACUGACACUGAGGUGCGAAAGCGUGGGUAGCAAACAGGAUUAGAUACCCCAGUAGUC